AUUGAACGCUGGCGGCAGGCCUAACACAUGCAAGUCGAACGAGUGGCGGACGGGUGAGUAAUGUCUGGGAAACUGCCCGAUGGAGGGGGAUAACUACUCGAAACGGUAGCUAAUACCGCAUACCAUCGGAUGUGCCCAGAUGGGAUUAGCUAGUAGGUGGGGUAAAGGCUCACCUAGGCGACGAUCCCUAGCUGGUCUGAGAGGAUGACCAGCCUCACUGGGACUCGGACAGGGUCCAGACUCCUACGGGAGGCAGCAGUGGGGAAUAUUGUACAAUGGGGGCAAGCGUGAUGCAGCCAUCCCUGGUGUAUGAUGAAGGCCUUCGGGUUGUAAAGUACUUUCAGCGGGGAGGCGUUACCCGCAGAAGAAGCACCGGCUAACUCCGUGCCAGCAGCCGCGGUAAUAC
rnacentral:rRNA from 1 species